GCGUGGAGGAUGAAGGUCUUCGGAUUGUAAACUCCUGUCAUCGGGGAGUAAGACCUGGGCGUGAAUAGCGCACAGGGUUGAUAGUACCCGAAGAGGAAGGGACGGCUAACUUCGUGCCAGCAGCCGCGGUAAUACGAAGGUCCCAAGCGUUGUUCGGAAUCACUGGGCGUAAAGGGAGCGUAGGCGGCGUGGUAAGUCAGAUGUGAAAUCCCGGGGCUCAACCCCGGAACUGCAUCCGAUACUGCCAUGCUUGAGGGUUGGAGAGGUAGCUGGAAUUCUCGGUGUAGCAGUGAAAUGCGUGGAUAUCGAGAGGAACACUCGUGGCGAAGGCGAGCUACUGGACAACAUCUGACGCUGAGGCUCGAAGGCCAGGGGAGCAAAAGGGAUUAGAUACCCCUGUAGUCCUGGCAGUAAACGGUGUGCGCUUGGUGUGAGGGGAUUCGACCCCCCUUGUGCCGGAGCUAACGCGUUAAGCGCACCGCCUGGGAAGUACGGCCGCAAGGCU
rnacentral:rRNA from 1 species